GGCUGCCAGACCUGUGUCGGAAGGAAUGAAACUGGGCAGGAAGACAACUGGGCCGCAGCAGGACGCACACACCCACACACCCACCAUGCAGAGACGACUGCCUCAUCACAGCGAGCAGGCAGGCGGUGGCAAAGGAGCAACUCACGGAAGUCCGGGUUGGCGAUGGUUUUCCUGUUCUGGGAGGAGGCUGGUGGAGGCAAGAUCACCACGGCGGCCAACAUCACGAGGAGGCUUGCCCUACUUGCCAUGGCUGCGCUGGUCUAGUGGUAUAGAAAAAGAGCGGGUGAGACAUGUGUUUAUCUUAUUCCAUAUAGUUUUCAAUGUAAUAUAUUGAUGACUGGCUAACUAACAUCCUCUUGGAAGUUGGUGGCCACUCAAAACCCUCAUUUGCUGUCAGCGGUACCAUUCGGAAUUACACCAUGACAUCAGUAGUGAAAGCAGGUCGUAUCACUCAAAGGACUGAGACAAGUUGCUAAGUACAUACGUUUGGUAAGGACACCGUGGCUUCUUUUGGCUGUGCAGUAUUGCGGGGUGCAGAUUUGCAUGUUGAUUUUCUUUGUGUGUGUGUGUGUGUGUGUGUGUGUGUGUGUGUGUGUGUGUGUCAGUGUGUUCCUCGUCUCUCUUCCCUUAGCCGGAGCUGUGGAGACCUUGAAUGUGACGUUCAGUAGAAAAUAUUCACGCGCCAAGGCAAGGUCUCGAGCUGAUCACCAUUCACAGUGCCACCCUCGCUAUCUUGACAUUCUCGUGGCGUCAGCUUGGGGACGGUGAAAGUAAGGACAAUUGUGGCGGUGCAAGAAGUAAGGGAUAAAAAGAACGCGAAAAUAGUGCGAAGAAAAGGGGAAGGAGUACACUGAGGACAACUAAAUAGAACGCAGGUACGCUUGUGCUGUUGUGAACAUUCAACACAACCACCACCACCUGCUAUGGGAUACUGCUACUACUGUUAUUGCUGCAGUGUGUGACUCUAUCAAUCCUGCCUUCAGAGAUGUAUGCAAGUUAUUCUUCAUUAACUAAACAAUAUAGUCUUCAUUCUUACACUCCAUACGUUACUCAUGAGUUUAUUCCAUUGAUUGGUGUCAGAAUUCUGAGUAAGACAAUUUAAAAUUUUACAGCUGCUGCUGGCAUCAACAUUACGUUUCUGUUCUAGUAUUCCUGAUCGGCGUGUUCACUUCAGAGAAUUUUACGUCAUCGAUGCUACGCAAUUCUUAAAACUUAAAAUUUGCUGUGUGUGCCUCAUGCUAUCAAGGUCCUGUUUUCCACUCCUUUCCUAGAGAGUUCAGUCUUUGCUGUAAUCGUCCUCAUGACUUCUGUGGUACUUCGUUAUCGUGCCAUGAGCGAUAUGUUUGUUGUUCGUGUACAUCCAUCUUGACGAGAUGCCUAUUCGUGCUGGAGGAGGUUGUUCGGAUAACACUUGGCAUCACUUCACUUUAUUCCCCUCACAGGUAGACGAGACUGCCAGAAUUCUUAACGACUGUUGAUACCUGCAACCAGAAUCUGUCCCAACUCAUCCAGUAAAUAAGAUCCAUUGAUGCAAAGUGUAUCUUACGUAUACAGUAUUCAGUGUUUCUUUUGGCUUAAAUACAUAGUUAUGCAUUAAAAAAAAUAAAAAAAAGCUUUUGCCGAGGCAUCAUAGUUUUAAAGACUUGAGUCAAACUCCCUACAUUUCGAUUGGGAUGGAUAUAAACUACCUAGCUUUGUAUUCCCCACUUAGCUGCAAUCCUCCAAUCUUGAAUAAUCCUUUUUUUUUUCCUGAGGGAUUGGCACCACGGUAGAUUUUUCCGUCUUACACAAAAAAAAGAUUAAAUAGAAGAAUAAGAGGUUGUCCUUCCCGUAACCACCUCUACAAACUGCAAAUGUCAUAGUUGCAGAAGUACAGGAUCACUUCACUUCUCAUUUUGGAGCUCAGCGUUUGCGGUAAAUUGUGCACAAACUCAGUAACAAUAAGAAUGUGUCACUAAUAACUUCACAUAUUUACUACUAAUUUUCUCCUCUCUUAUAUGUAUGGUCAUGCGAGUCCCAGCAUCGUGGGAUUCCCUACAUAUCAUUCAUAUCUCAUGCUGUCAUUUAGCCCUUCUUCCACAGGUCGACAGAACAAUUUGGGCUCUUCGUCUCUUGUGCUAGACAGUGUUUUCAUAUCUCAUGUAUUGCCUACUGCGUAUUGUGGCGUAAUAACUCUCUUCUAUCCUUUAAACAUUCUCUCUCUCUCUCUCUCUCUCUCUCUCUCUCUCUCUCUCUCUCUCUCUCUCUCUCUCUCUCUCUCUCUCUCUC